rnacentral:rRNA from 1 species
CCUACGGGUGACAGCAGUGGGGGAUAUUGCACAAUGGGGGAAACCCUGAUGCAGCGACGCCGCGUGUGGGAAGACGGUCUUCUGGAUUGUAAACCACUGUCCCCAGGGACGAAAAUGACGGUACCGGGGGAGGAAGCGCCGGCCAACUACGUGCCAGCAGCCGCGGGAAUACGGAGGGAGCAAGCGUUGUCCGGACUUACUGGGUGUCAAGGGAGCGUAGGCGGGGAUGCAAGUUGGGUGUCAAAACUAUCGGCUCACCCGAUAGUCGCACUCCAAACUGCAGCUCUUGAGUGAAGUAGAGGCCGGCGGACUUCCUCGUGUAGCGGUGCAAUGCGUAGAUAUUAGGAGGACCCCCAGUGGCGACGGCGGCCUGCUUGGCUUUUCCUGCCGCUGAGGCUCGACCGUGUGGCGCGCAAACAGGAUUAGAUACCCUAGUAGUC